AUUACUAUCUCUUCUUCAUAUGUCUCCUCUCUCUUUCAUCUCGGUCGAAUCUUCCAUGGCGCUCAUUGCUCCAUCUCUCGUGCUCUUAGUCCCCCAUCUCUCGUGCUCCCAGGCUCGAGACGCUCCAAGUCCUCCAUCUCUCGCGCUCCCAGGCUCGAGACGCUCCAAGUCCUCCAUCUCUUGCGCUCAGAGUCCCCUAUCUCUUGCGCUCCUAGGCUCGAGUCGCUCGGACAUCUCUCGGUUGUGAACAUGAUAUUUUGAAAUUUGUUGAUCAUAGACUUUAUAUAUUGGAUAAGAUGAUGGUUCUUGCAUAAUUGUUCUUGCUCUGUAUUGCCUUUUGCCAAGAUGCACUCAAUGUGUUCGAUGAUUUGCCUUUGUGAUUUUAGUGUCAAUUUGCCUGUGUUAUUAAUCAAAUUUGGUGAUACUUGCAUGAUCUGGAUGACUUCAUUCUGAUGCGUUGAUCGUUUGAAAUACUUCUUGAUUUAUUCUCUCUUGAGGUCGAGAACUAGGGUUAAGGUUUGUGAGAAAAUUGUCUCUAAUUCUGAAUUUAUUAGUAAUAUAAACACACAUUGAUGUUGCUGUGACAGUUUGGAAUUAGACGACGUUUUGAUGCUUCAUUUAUGCCUUCUGUUCAAACUAACCUCCACAUGUUUGUUAAAAUGCCCAAACGAAUCAGUGUUCAAGUUUUAAAAGGGCUCUUACAUUUUAGUGAUUGAUUGACUAUUGCACAUUUAAACUGAGGGUAUACGUCUCUGAAACAUGUCCAUUUGACCAUAGCUAAGACUUAUCUAUGCAUGUUGCUCAAGAGGUUGAUUGUCCAGAUGUUUCAAAGUAUAUCUCCAUUGGCAAAGAGUGAUUUGACAGAGAAAACCAAUGCUAGUCACCAUGGAGAGCUUUGUGCGAAGUGGAUCUCAUGCAAAUGAUGUUAGAUUGAGUGGCGGCAGAGCAUUGAGUCAAUUCAUGAGUGACAAUUGUAACGUUUCAUGCAAGCAAUAGCGACGAGCAACCCUCUAUACCCUGCGGACCCCAAGAAAUCCUAUAAGGAGACUAUUUCACCAUUCAACAUGGAGGGUUGAUGAUUGUGGAUUUUUAAAAUGGAUUGAUCCUUAUCUGACAAUACAAGAGAAAUAAGUCAUCUGCCAACUGAUGAAUGAUAAUGAGACAUUGAAGGAGAGGCUGCAAAAUGUGGAGAAUCAAUUGAACAAUGGCUUACAGAAUGAUAUUAUGAGAAUGCAAGCGAAGGAGAAGACACGUGUUAGAGUUAUACUUGUAUUGGUGGAAGCUUUAAUUGUGUUAAUGAUUUAUAAGGUUGGUUGGAUGGUGCAACAUUGCUUGCUGUAAAUGUUUAUUUUCUGAGAAUUUCUCUUUGCAACUAUUAGUUCACUUGAACCGUUUGUCAGCCAUUGUAGAGUUGGCGUUGUGGAGGGGGAAAGAUGGGCUAUUUUUGUAAACUCGUUAUCUAUUUUAACAAAAAUGACCAUAGGUAGCUUUUUUCA